rnacentral:rRNA from 1 species
AUUGAACGCUGGCGGCAGGCUUAACACAUGCAAGUCGAGCGGAGUGAUGGUGCUUGCACUAUUACUUAGCGGCGGACGGGUGAGUAAUGCUUAGGAAUCUGCCAUUUAGUGGGGGACAACAUUCCGAAAGGAAUGCUAAUACCGCAUACGUCCUACGGGAGAAAGCAGGGGAUCUUCGGACCUUGCGCUAAAUGAUGAGCCUAAGUCGGAUUAGCUAGUUGGUGGGGUAAAGGCCUACCAAGGCGACGAUCUGUAGCGGGUCUGAGAGGAUGAUCAGCCACACUGGGACUGAGACACGGCCCAGACUCCUACGGGAGGCAGCAGUGGGGAAUAUUGGACAAUGGGCGGAAGCCUGAUCCAGCCAUGCCGCGUGUGUGAAGAAGGCCUUUUGGUUGUAAAGCACUUUAAGCGAGGAGGAGGCUCUCCUAGUUAAUACCUAGGAAGAGUGGACGUUACUCGCAGAAUAAGCACCGGCUAACUCUGUGCCAGCAGCCGCAGUAACAC